GUAAAUAUAGUUUAAUAAAAACCCUAGAUUGUGAAUCUAGUAAUAGGGUCUAAACCCCCUUAUUUACC
rnacentral:tRNA from 1 species